UUCUUCAUUUCCAGGGUGCAGAGAAGAACUUGAAAAAUCUCAAUGAUCUUUGGUACUACUUGGUCUUUAUCAGAAGUUAAAGAGGUUCUAAAGUUUGAAGCUGCAGAAUUAAGAGUCUGUCAAUGGAGCAAAAAACAGGCAAGAGGACAAGCCAACCUGAAAACUAUGAAGUCAGAAGUGACAGAGGUGAUGGUCUUGGCUUCCCACCUGAGCAGUACUUUGGGGUGGAGAACACAAGAGGACCUGUGUCAUCUUGUAGAAACGACUCUUUUACCUAAGAGAGAGAUUUUGAGAAGUUACAGCAUCUACCUCAAGAUCACAUGAGUAGGAAGGAAGCUUCCAGACAGCAGUAGAGUGCCAAACUGAAGAAAAGACUGAUUCAUGGCAAAAGGCGACUGAAAAUAUGAAAAGGAAUGCAGCGUCCACGUCUUCAAAUGUUCCCCAUUUAGUUAAUUUAUCAUUAGAAAAAAACACAAAUAAAACACAGCCAGCUUUGCCUAAUGGACAUCGUGAUAAUAAAUUAAUUCUUACUGAGUGUAUUUUAUUCUGUCAUUUUCAGAGGGAAAUGCACCAACCCAAGAUUCUUAAAUAACCAUAAUUAGAUUACUUUCUCCACCUUUCUAACAAGCCCUUUGAAACAGAGGCCUUCAGAAGUGAUGGGAAUGGGGCAGAGGCAUGGUCCCCAAAGAGAAGGCUCUCUCUAGGUGCCUUUUUACAAGAGUUCAGGGGAACUGGGUAAUUGGCACAAAGCCACAUGAUUCAGGAAGUUGCUGUGAUCACUCCUGGCUCCUCAAACAAACACUUUUCUUUCUCCUCAUUGGGACAAACUGAAAUUUCCAACAGUGGUGAACAAGACCUCUUUCAUCCCUGAGGCUUUGCCUAGGCAAAGAGCCAGUACUCCUGACAUGACUGAGGCCUCUUGUCUGAUGUCCCCCAGUUGCUGGAUGAAACUCUGCUUUGAAAUAACUGCAAGAAGCAGGAUAAGAAGUGCCAGUGCUGGGCCUGUCAGAGGGAGAGUUGUUUUUUUCUUUUUUUCCACCUCUCUGUGCUG
rnacentral:lncRNA from 1 species